UAGGGAAUAUUGGGCAAUGGACGGAAGUCUGACCCAGCCAUGCCGCGUGCAGGAAGAAGGCGCUCAGCGUUGUAAACUGCUUUUAUCGGGGAAGAACGGCAGUCCUGCGGGAUUGUGUGACGGUACUCGAGGAAUAAGCACCGGCUAACUCCGUGCCAGCAGCCGCGGUAAUACGGAGGGUGCGAGCGUUGUCCGGAUUUAUUGGGUUUAAAGGGUGCGUAGGCGGUUUUAUAAGUCAGUGGUGAAAUCCGGCAGCUCAACUGUCGAUGUGCCAUUGAUACUGUAGAACUUGAGUACUGAUGAGGUAGGCGGAAUUGACGGUGUAGCGGUGAAAUGCUUAGAUAUCGUCAAGAACACCGAUGGCGAAGGCAAUCCCCUGGGCCUGCACUGACGCUCAUGCACGAAAGCGUGGGGAGCAAACA
rnacentral:rRNA from 1 species